UACGGAGGGUGCAAGCGUUAAUCGGAAUUACUGGGCGUAAAGCGCGCGUAGGUGGCUAAAUAAGUCGGAUGUGAAAUCCCCGGGCUCAACCUGGGAAUUGCAUACGAUACUGUUUGGCUAGAGUACGAGAGAGGAAGGUAGAAUUCCACGUGUAGCGGUGAAAUGCGUAGAUAUGUGGAGGAAUACCAGUGGCGAAGGCGGCCUUCUGGCUCGAUACUGACACUGAGGUGCGAAAGCGUGGGGAGCAAACAGG
rnacentral:misc_RNA from 1 species